rnacentral:rRNA from 1 species
GGUGGUUGUUGCGUUGGGGUUCCACCUCUUCCCAUUCCGAACAGAGAAGUUAAGCCCAACAUCGCCGAUGGUACUGCAUAAACGUGGGAGAGUAGGUAGCCGCCAAUU